rfam:Schistosoma margrebowiei strain Zambia genome assembly, scaffold: SMRZ_contig0002202
GCGCUGCUGAAGAGUCCCACGACAGGAUGAAACGGUUGUCCAGUGC